ACGUACUGGGCGAACGUUAUUCGGAAUCACUGGGCUUAAAGGGUGCGUAGGCGGCUUUCCAGGUCUGAUGUGAAAUCUUACGGCUCAACCGUAAAAUUGCGUUGGAAACCGGAAAGCUUGAGUAUGCUAGGGGUGUGUGGAACUUCCUGUGGAGCGGUGAAAUGUGUUGAUAUGGGAAGGAACGCCGGUGGCGAAAGCGACACACUGGGGCAUAACUGACGCUGAGGCACGAAAGCUAGGGUAGCGAACGGG
rnacentral:rRNA from 1 species